GGGAAAGUGAAAGUGUGAGGGAAGAUGGGACUGUGGCUGAACCCUCUCCCUCGCGGCCAGCUAGCAACUAGCGCCUGCUUCUUCGUCGUCGGAGUCUCCUUCUUCGCCGCCGGAGCUUACCUCUCUUUCCUCAACAUCGCCCCUCAGCAAGCUCGAACCAAAGCUCGUGAUGAUUUUGUCAAGGAGCGUUUGAGGAAGCGUCACCACGACUAACGUCCAUCGGCUUCUUCCAGUUAACAAAGAAUUCCCCAAAUUUGAAGAACAGAAGUAUGAACUUUAAAGACGUAAUGAAUG
rnacentral:misc_RNA from 1 species